rnacentral:lncRNA from 1 species
AUGGACUCAGCCCCAGAGUACUCAGGGACUGCGCUGUGUGGGGUCUUCCAGCACAUCUUCUCCCUGAGUCUGAGCCUGAUGUCUGUCCCUGCCCUGUGGAAGACAACAUGCCUUGUUCCUGUGCCCAAGACCAAACAUCCAAGCACACACAGCGACUACAGACCAGUUGCUCUGACUUCACAUGUGAUGAAGUCUCUGGAGAGGCUGGUCCUGAAACACCUGUUGUGUUUCAACAUCUCUGUUGUGGAACCAUCGCUGGACCCCCUGCAGUUUGCUUACCAGCCCCGUAUUGGAGUGGAGGACGCCAUCAUCUACCUGCUGCACAGAGCACACACCUACUUGGAGGAGGCAGGUAACACUGUUAGAAUCAUGUUCUUUGAUUUUUCCACUGCGUUUAACACCGUGCAGCCUGCCCUUUUGAAGAGGAAGCUCCUGGACAUGCAGGUAGAGACCCCACUGGUCACCUGGAUCACUAACUAUCUUACAGGUCGACCACAAUUUGUGAGGCUGAGGAACACCGUCUCGGACAUGAUAGUGAGCAGCACGGGGGCACCCCAGGGCACAGUACUGUCUCCAUUCCUGUUCACACUCUAUACAUCGGACUUCAGACACUGCUCACAGUCCUGCCACCUGCAGAAGUUCUCGGUAGACUCUGCCAUUGUGGGCUGUACCAGCAGAGGUCGGGAGGCGGAGUAUAUGAGUGUGGUGGACAGCUUUGUGGAGUGGUGCGGACAGAACCACCUGCAGCUGAAUGUCACAAAGACAAAAGAGCUGGUGGUGGACUUCAGGAAGCACCAGACACUCCCAAACCCGGUCAGCAUCAAGGGUACCAACGUGGACAUUGUGGACAGCUACAAAUACCUGGGUGUCCACAUUGACCACAAACUGGACUGGUCCACAAACGCAGAGGCAAUAUACAGGAAGGGACAGAGUCGCCUGUAUCUACUGAGAAGACUCAAAUCCUUUAACGUCUGCCAGACCAUGCUGCAGAUGUUUUACCACUCGGUGGUCUCCAGCGUCAUCUUCUACGCUGUAGUGUGCUGGGGCAGCAGGAUGAAGACGGCCGACACCAACAGACUCAACAAGCUCAUUAGGAAGGCUGGCUCAGUACUGGGAGUGGAGCUGGAGUCUGUGGUGGAGGUGACGGAGAGGAGGAUACUGAGGAAACUCCUCAGUAUUCGUAACAACACGUCUCACCCCCUGCACGACACACUGCCGUCCUACAGGAGCACAUUCAGCGCUAGACUGAGACUACCGAGGAGCAGCACAGAACGCCACAGGAGGUCCUUCCUGCCAGUGGCCAUCAGACUGUAUAACUCCUCCCCUUUCUGUAGGGAGAAGCGCUAG